UUUCCGUAGGUGAACCAGCGGAGGGAUCAUUACCGAGUUUACAACUCCCAAACCCAAUGUGAACCAUACCAAACUGUUGCCUCGGCGGGGUCACGCCCCGGGUGCGUCGCAGCCCCGGAACCAGGCGCCCGCCGGAGGGACCAACCAAACUCUUUCUGUAGUCCCCUCGCGGACGUUAUUUUUACAGCUCUGAGCAAAAAUUCAAAAUGAAUCAAAACUUUCAACAACGGAUCUCUUGGUUCUC
rnacentral:misc_RNA from 1 species